AGACCUUGACAACCCUUUGCUUGGCCUUGCUCCCUUUUCUCGCCUGUUUCCCUUUCAGGCUUGGUCCCCCUCGACCCCCCGAAUAACUAGGUGCCGUGGGUCAGGAUAAGUGGUGCCCAACAUGGGUCUCAAGGUACAGACCCUCGCAGGACGGAGCCCACCCUCCAGAGAAGGUCUCUGCUAUGAAGAAGCCAUUUGAGGAACACUCUCGAUGCUCAUGAGAGAAAGACGUCUCGGGAUCCCGUUGGCAUCUAUGACUGCUUCAGAGGCACAGUCUGCUACCAACACUUCUUCUGAGACAACAUCAGCAGCCAGAGGAUCUGGGACGAUUUCUGCUUCUACUACACUAUCAUGAACCACAUGUUCAACGUGACCAACAUCAGACACAUGUAUAGAUUCACUUGUCAAGACAUGUUCUGGCAUAGAUAUUGAGGCUGAAGUAAUAUCAGAAGCUAAAACAUCAUCUGGAACUGUGCAAUGUGUUAAAGAAACUUCUUCGGUUACAUCUGAAUCCAGCACUUGUUCAGGGAUGAUGACUGUUUCCGAUACAUCUGCUUCGUCCAUGAUGUCUGUACACUGGACAUCUUCUAUAACAACAUCCUCAAUGACAUCCUGGAUUACAACUGAAUCUGGGUCAUCAGGAACAUAGUUAUGUACGGUUAUGUCGGAAUCCACAACAUCUGACACAUAAACCGUUUCUUGAACUUCCACAACAAUUUGAUUACCAUCCAUGUGUGUAGCACCAGCUCCUAAAAAAUAAACAAACUCCUAAGUGUGGUAGUUUAAAUAAGAACGGCCCUAUAAGCUCAUAUAUUUAAAUGUCUUCGAGCAGAUUAUAAGGAUUAGGAGGUGUAGACUUGUUGGAGGGUGUGUGUCACUAGGUGUGGGCUUUGGGGUUUCAAAAGCUUAUGUCAAGCAGCAGGCCUAGUGUGCAUUUGUGCAUGCAGGUGUGUGUGUCUAUCUCCUCCUCCUAACUCUGCCUGUGGAUCAAAAUGUAAAGGUCUUUGCCUAUGGAUCAAGAUGUAGCUCUUGGCUACUACUUCAGCACCUGCCACCAUGAUGAUGCCAGACUAAACCUCUGUAACUAUCAACAAGUCCCCAAUUUAAAUGCUUUCUCAGUGAGUUGCCUUGUUCAUGAUGUCUCUUUCCAGCAACAAAAUAGUAGCUAAGACAGUAAGUAAAGAAAAUCAUGAAUUUCAGC
rnacentral:lncRNA from 1 species